UACGUAGGGUGCAAGCGUUGUCCGGAAUUAUUGGGCGUAAAGAGCUCGUAGGCGGUUUGUCGCGUCGAAUGUGAAAUCCCGGGGCUCAACCCCGGGCCUGCAUUCGAUACGGGCAGACUAGAGUUCGGUAGGGGAGUCUGGAAUUCCUGGUGUAGCGGUGAAAUGCGCAGAUAUCAGGAGGAACACCAAUAGCGAAGGCAGCUCGCUGGGACGUUACUGACACUGAGGCGCGAAAGCGUGGGGAGCGAACAGG
rnacentral:rRNA from 1 species